CAUCCUUCUAUUCUACUGAUCAGAAAGCUGGACACAGUCCCACUGCCAGGCUACACAGUUGGUGCCAUUUGCGGAGACGACCUUUGACCUUUAACCCACGCGGCCACCCGCCCGAGCUCUUACCCCCGCUGCCCCUCGCGCGUCCCACUCCCCGUCCCCGCCGGAUCCGCUUCCCUGCCCUGGGCCCAGCGCGCCGCCAGGGAAGGGGCCGGAGCCUGGGAGCCCGCCCCGCCGUCGCCCGUCCUCCGCCCGCAGGCCCACCCGCAGCGGUCAGGUGAAGGACCGAGCGCCGCGCGCCCAGGCGGGGCCUCCGGCCUGCACGAGGAGGGCAGAGUCCGUUGCGGCUGCCGCCCCGACGCCAGCGCAUCCCCGCUCGCCGCGCCCGCCGCCGCGAUGUCCGGGGCCGGCCUAGCCGCGGUGGUGAGCCGCCUGCGCCCGCAGCCCGGCGAGGAGCCGCAGACCCAUGAGGACCUUCUCCUGGCAGCUGCCUAUGUUUUGGAUGCCCAGUACAACAGAAAUGUUCCAUUUGAAACUCACGUCAGGCCAUCAGACGUUACUAUUUUUAUAACCACUAGACAACGCAGGUUGCCGCAUACUUCUUUAUUUGUGUAGACCUCGCUCUUGCCCUGUUUGAAGAGCGUGAGUUGCUUCCCCUGCCUUUCUUGGCCACCUCAAUAGCAGAAGUACUCUGCCUGACUGCAUACUUUGGCAGACUGGUACAUUUUGCAAAAGUCACUCCUCAAAUGGUUUUCUGGAAGGAUACAAAAGACAUCUGCACCAUGGUAACCAUAGUGGUGAGUGUUCAUUGUAGUACCUGUAAGAGUUUAUGACCGAAGGCAGGAGCCAUGAAGAAAAAAGACUCAAUAUAUUUGCUUUUGAUGAAACAACAACACUUCCAUAUGGUGAACGCCAUAAGCACAACUGCAAGCAAACCACAAACUGAAGAACAAAUAGGGCAAAAUGUGGCAGUGCAGACAUUUCAGCAUAUCAAGAGCACUUCCAAAUUUCAGGAAAAAAAAGAUAUCUCAAUAGAUAAUUUUGCUGAAGAUAAGUGAAGGCAACUCAUAAGGAAAAAAUAUGUAAAAUGGCCAAUAGGAAAGAUGUUUAACGUCACUAAUUAAAAAUUAUAGAAUAAAACAACAAUAAAAUACCAUGUGUUUGCCUAUAAAACAAUCUUAGCAAGAUUGAAAACAAACUUUUUGUAAUUUCAAUUUUUAGUUUAGAUUCAGGUGGUACAUGUGCAGGUUUGUUACAUGGCUAUAUUUCGUGAUGGUGAGGUUUGGGGUACAACUGAUCCCAUCACUCAGGUAGUGAGCCUAGAAUC